CGGUCGACGUCCUCGACAGUUCCGUCCGUGGCAAACCUGCAGGGCAUGGCCAGGCCGUCGGGCAUCAACAUGGCCUCUUUCUCCGCCGUGUCCAAUUCCGGAGGCGCGUGGAGGGUUUUUUUAUAUAUCUUUAUGGUUUUCUUGGUUACAGGGAGGAGGAAGAAGAAUAGGCCGGUGAGGGUGUUCCCGACGGACAAGGGGACGCUCUGGAAGACACGAUCCGCCGAUGGCCACGCUGAGUCCUGGGGUAGAUUGAUUUCGCAGUCUAGAUUGGUGAGGAGAUUUGUAUGGUCAGAAAGGGUGAAGGUUCCAUGGCCAGUUUUAAAGAAAGAGGUGCUUCUACACUAUUUUGAAUUGGAAUAUCUUAAAGAUGUCGUCGUUUUGAUAAUGAAAAAUAAAUUGAUUAUGUGAAGGUAUCGAAUACAAUUCUUCCAAGAGAUAUACGUGUACUGGGUUGGUGUCAUGUUCCAGCAUAUUUUAAUGCAAGGUUAGCUAUGUUCCAUGUUUUAUAUUUUUCUUCUUGCAAGGAUAAAUGCACUAUUUUGCAAACAGGCAAAUAUAUGAUAUAUCUAUUGACAAGUGUUAAUUCUAAGGAGAUAAAGUGCUCCAUCGUUUUGUGAUCAGAUUAUUAUGUCCAGUUAUAUGAUGAUGAUACUUUGUGGUUGCUGAUUGGCACUUGAUUUUUUUCUCUCACUGCUAUUUUGCAAAUUCACCUGUUUGAGCCGGGAAUAUACUUAUUUUGGAAAGGGGACUUGGAUCUAUUGGUACUUACACUACCUUUGAUUUUUAUACUUGCCCAGUGAGUUAAGAUUUGUCCAUGUCUAUUGAGCUACCAACUUUCAUUUGCAAGUACUUUACAUCAAUAUGGAAAGUAGAAACCUUAUAGCUUGUGAAAUCAAAUGUGUAACACUUGGAUUUCUAUUGUGGUCAACUGAUCUUGCUGCAUCAAUUUUGAGAUGCGGUCGCUGGCGCUCAUGCUGACGUGGUCCGUCGCCACCGUGCUCACUCUCCUCGCCGUGGGCUCGCCCCAUCCACCACCUCAGCAAUGCUAGAACGGAAAACCAGGUUGUGCAAAAGAGUACUUGCGACUUUGAAGGUCUUAUGGUCAGUAAUAGAGGAUAUGACGAAGUACAUAUCACCAGAGGAUGCAAAAAGAUUGAUAUCUAAAGAGAAUGGAGGCGAGGUGUUCUACUAAAAUGCCAAGCUCCUGGUUGUCCUAUGUCUGGUUUCCAAGGUGUUUAGACUGUAUUUUGUAAUGUAACAUUUGGUGUGGUGGAUGCAAUUCCAUGAUAGCGAAUGGCAUAAGAUUUAAUGCUAAGAAGAAACAAGUUGGAAAUUAUUACUCUACCAAGGUAUAUACUAGAGCGAAGAGCGAACAACAAUCUAAGAUUGCAGCAAGAAAGGUCCAGCAAGAACCAGAUUAUGUACAUGUAUAUGUGUGGAUAGAACUAACCGCCGAUAUUAUCCUAAAUCUAAGCACGGUCACCCACAAAAAAUGUGUAAUUUGCUUCUUCCCAGACAUACGAAAUGUGUUAUGCGGACUAUGUUGGCUAUUGGAAAGGCAUUCUAAAUGCCGUCUGUAAUGUUUGAUGGUUACAAACUAUUGUCGUGCUAUGUAAUAUGCGGUCUUGACAUAACCGCUAGGUUUGUGAUGUUGUUGCAUGUUACAGCUGCAACUUUA